rnacentral:rRNA from 1 species
UACGGGGGGGGCAAGCGUUGUUCGGAAUUACUGGGCGUAAAGGGUCUGUAGGUGGCUCGCUAAGUCAGACGUGAAAUCCCUCAGCUUAACUGGGGAACUGCGUCUGAGACUGGCAAGCUUGAGUGCAGGAGAGGAACGCGGAAUUCCAGGUGUAGCGGUGAAAUGCGUAGAUAUUCGCAAGAACACCCGUGGCUAAGGCGGCUCUCUAGUACGGUACUGACGCUGAGACGCGAAAGCGUGGGGAGCGAACAGG